AUCUAUUUUAUUGAAACAGACGAGUCCUCUCUUCCCCCACUUCCGAAUCCGAUUAACCAGAAAUUGAUGGAUGAUGGUGUUUCGACAUGACUUCGGUAAUAUUUUAAGCAAGAGAAUCUUAGCAACUCGUAUACCAGGGAAGGAGAUGAGACAAGAGUUAACAGAACACCAAAUUCAUCCAUGGUCACGUCAAGUCACGUACAGCAGGUGUUUGUAAAAAUGUGCUAUCAGUUUAGCCUCAAAGACGUCCCUCCAUUCUGCCAUAUACUGUCCCAAGCAAAAUGGAAUUAAUCCACUCGUUUGAAACAUUAUUGUGUGUAGCUCCACUUAUUCCCAAAACGGCAACACCCACAUCCUUAAACUCUCUUCUUUUAAUCAAUUAGUUAGCGGCUCGUCAUUCCACAAUUCUAGUACAGUCACAUGAAAAACAACCGGAGGUAAAGUGUUCCUUCUUCUUAACCAAUUGGGUGGGAUGGUUUCACAAGUCAAUCACUGAUAUUCAGCUCAUACUAAAUCUUGCGCACGCGAUCAUCAACCAUAACAAUCCAUGGAGAAGUAAUGACUCAUGUGUAUGAUAUGAUGCCUUGAAUUUCCAUACACCAUGAAUCUGAUGUUGUGUCCAUGUCAUACAUAAUUUUCUUAUUACAUUUGCUCAUACACCUGAGUGCAUAAUGUAUAAUUCUGACGGGAAAUAGGUUUUGGCUUCGUUGUACCCGGGUGCAUACUCUUUUGAUUCUUUGUAUGAAAGAAGUUUUCGUCAGGUGCACCUGGGUGCAUAAUGCACAUUCUUACAGGAAAAUAAAUUUAGGCAGGUUGCACCUGGGUGCAUAAUGCACAUUCUUAUAGAAAAUAAAUUUUGGCCAGGUUGCACCCGGAUGCACAAUGCAUAAUUUUAUAUGAAAUAAAUUGUCCAAGUUGCACCAUAAUAAUUUUUAUUUUAUUUUAUCAAUUAACAGAAGAGGUUUUAGUUGCACCUGGGUGCAUAAUGCAUAUUUUUAUAGGAAAUAAUUUUUGACCAGGUUGCACCUGGGUGCAUAAUGUAUCCUCGGCUUGGUUGUUUAA